CACGUAGGCACCAAGCGUUGUCCGGAUUUAUUGGGCGUAAAGAGCUCGUAGGCGGUGGAGUAAGUCGGGUGUGAAAACUCUGGGCUUAACCCAGAGCCGCCACCCGAUACUGCUCUGACUUGAGUUCGGUAGGGGAGCAGGGAAUUCCUAGUGUAGCGGUGAAAUGCGCAGAUAUUAGGAGGAACACCGGUGGCGAAGGCGAUGCUCUGGGCCGAUACUGACGCUGAGGAGCGAAAGCGUGGGUAGCAAACAGG
rnacentral:rRNA from 1 species